GACCAAGUUUGGUCAGUCUUUAACUCCAGUGGCAAGAUAGGCAAAUUAGCAUCGUAGGAACCAGAAUCAAAGCAGCAAUCGAGUCAUUUGAAUUUUGGUAAUGACUACUUGAUCAUUACCAAAUGAUCUCUGAAAAGAAAAUCAAUAUGCUUGAUUUCUGUGCAUGUAUUCCUACCUUGACAUUAACAGCCUUUCAUGUGGAUCAGUCCAAAGUCAAUGAGGCCAUGAAAUCAGCAUCGAUCAUGAAGACAAUUGAAAUUACUAAAUCAAGCUCGUAAGAUUAUAU
rnacentral:lncRNA from 1 species